AGGAUGAAUGCUGGCGGCGUGCCUAAUACAUGCAAGUCGAGCGGUAAGGCCCUUCGGGGUACACGAGCGGCGGACGGCUGAGUAACGCGUGGGAACAUGCCCCAAAGUGAGGGAUAAGCAUCGGAAACGGUGUCUAAUACCGCAUAUGGUCUUCGGAUUAAAGGAUUUAUCCGCUUUGGGAGUGGCCCGCGUACGAUUAGGUUGUUGGUGAGGUAAUAGCUCACCAAGCCUACGAUCGUUAACUGGUCUGAGAGGAUGAUCAGUCAGACUGGAACUGAGACACGGUCCAGACUCCUACGGGAGGCAGCAGUAAGGAAUCUUCCACAAUGGGCGAAAGCCUGAUGGAGCAACGCCGCGUGCAGGAUGAAGGCCUUCGGGUCGUAAACUGCUUUUAUGAGUGAAGAAUAUGACGGUAACUCAUGAAUAAGCACCGGCUAACUACGUGCCAGCAGCCG
rnacentral:rRNA from 1 species